rnacentral:rRNA from 1 species
AUACGGAGGAUCCGAGCGUUAUCCGGAUUUAUUGGGUUUAAAGGGUGCGCAGGCGGGAGAUUAAGUCGGCGGUGAAAUUUUUCAGCUCAACUGUAAAAGUGCCUUCGAAACUGGUUUCCUUGAGUGUAGAUGAAGUAGGCGGAAUUUGUGGUGUAGCGGUGAAAUGCAUAGAUAUCACGAGGAACUCCGAUUGCGCAGGCAGCUUACUAAACUACUACUGUCGCUCAGGCACGAAGGCGUGGGGAUCAAACAGGAUUAGAUACCCUGGUAGCCCACGCAGUAAACGAUGAUUACUAUUUGUUUGCGAUAGAAUGUAAGCGGCUGAGCGAAAGCGUUAAGUAAUCCGCCUGGGGAGUACGACCGCAAGGUUGAAACUCAAAGGAAUUGACGGGG